AUAAUUUUAAAUCAUCAUAACUUGCUCAUUUUAAACAUAUUUUUUUAUAUAUAUUAUAUAUCAAAUUAAAUGUCAUUUCAUAAUCUUUCGUUCAAGAUGCAUAUUAUAUACUCCAUUUGACAUAAUAUGAAAUUGCUUAAAAAUGAAAAAAAAAAUGCUAUAUCAAUUAAAUAAGAAAAUAAAAAAAUAAAAGAUUUAAAUAAUGCAUUGCUCAACAAUUUGAAAGUUUGCUAUUUUCUAGGUUAAUGCCAACCGGCAGUUUUCUUCUUUUCGAAAAUAAAGUGUAGUUAAUAUAUUAAAUUUGAUUUUUAAUUAUUUACUUUUUUCAAUUCCAAAAUUAC
rnacentral:lncRNA from 1 species